GACAAGAAGGUGGUCCUGCCCAGCCUAGCCCAUGGCUUGAUGACAAGAAGGAUAUUCUUUCUUAUACUGGACGUGUCAGAUCUCUGCUAGAACAAAAGGUUGAAUCUGGGUUUCCUAAGCGCACCAGGCUCAAGAGGAAGAGAAUAUUAAACAAAGCUGCAGAGAGAGUAGGCAAUGGCACAGGACUUCUCAAUGUACAGCUACAACUUUCUUUACUACAGUGUUAUAUGCUGGGAUAAAUACUUGAAAUAGCUGCUAAAUAGGAGGCUGGCAGUAAUCAGUUGGCUUUGUUAAAAAAAAAACAGUUCUCCGAGUUCAAGGAGGAGGUGAGUUAUGUGUUAAAGUAUCAGACUUAAGAAAAAUCUCAGGAAGAAAAAGUGAGAUAAAAUUACAUAGCCAUGAAAAUAGCUGCUUAAUCACUCAUUUCCCUGCUUCAAGGUACACAAUAUACUGCAAAAAAGCCAUAGUUGAGAAAAAACUGGACUGUCUCUGUAAAGCCAGGUAGUUAUCAAGAGCACUCCCAUAACAGAACCUUUAACAACUCAACAAAGCAUAAUCAGAGAGGAAACAAAAUAACCCAUCACAAAUCAGCUGGUUUUAUGCUUUUUUCCUGACCUCUUAUUUGUGCAGGAUGUUUUAAAGACUGAGAUUUCUGGGAGAGGUGAGAAAGGUGCCACACUGGCAAGCCAGACAAGCGUACAGUUGCAUUUUAGAUGAAGAGCAGCAAGAUAUUGAGAUGUACUGAAAACAUCCAACAGUACAUGGUUCUUCUCUAAAUGGAAGUUCUUAUUUCUGACUUGUAGGAAUCAAGAAACAGCAUAUUCUGCAGAACAAAGGAAAUAGUCCUUCUUCUAGGGCAGAGUUUCUCAAAGAUAUCUUGAAUAAUUUCAGUGAAGAUCCAGGGUCCCAGGAGAUCAUUUAUAACUCUUUAAUAAGGAAAAGCUCCAUGGUUUUGUUCAGAUUGCUAAUCAUAUUUCAAACCAGAACCACCUGCUGAAGACCUGCAGAAACAAAAGUAGAAGAAUUCUUAAUGUCCUAAUUUGAGAGGAGGUUAUAGCACAAUAUUAUUAAGAUCAAACUGCCUCAUGCUUGAAAUCAAGAACAAACCACUCUGCCAAAAAAGGGGAAACUCUUGCAGCCCAGCAGUGAUGAAUCUUGAUGUUCUCAGCUGCUAAACAGACCUGAGCAUUGGCCCAGAGAGAAACAGUCUCAGUAACCACUGCUUUUCCAGCAGCAGCUGUGAGCCUGCCCACUGCUUGAUGUGUAAUGCAUUUGUCAUACAGCUUGGGCUGAGAGAAGUCAAACAGAGUAAAAAUCUAUUGUCUGAAGCUUCAAGCAGAAGGGAGGUAACUACUUAACUUGUCUCCUGAUGCUGAUGUGAGCACAACAUGAACUGUUCAUAGGUGGUGAUUGAUAAGAGGAUUUGUGGUGGGGCUCCUUACCUGAGGUGAGGUUUUUAUUGUAACACCAGGUAAGCAAACAUUAUUAGAGGGGUGGAUUUGAUAUUGCAGUGCUUGAAGCUUUCU